CAAAGUACAUGGCAGACUGCUUUGUUCUACAUGCUACUGAAACGCUGCUGCUCUCCUGCUAAACUGGGAGCGUCCGAUGCAAUUAAUGUAACAGAAGAAAUCUCACUCUGUGAUUCAGAGGCAGGAUUCUGCUCGCAUGCUCCUUUUAAUUAAUGUUGACGUAUACACUAAAUUAUUUCAGUGCGUGCAAGAUGUCGAAAUGGCUAUGUGGAAAUUGAAUGAAGGCCCACCAGCUGCCUGUGACCUGAAAGAUGCACAUCAGAAAUGCUAAGCUUUUUUGCUGAAAUCAAAAUGUCUUUUCAAGAAUCAGAGACCUAUUCCCAUGAUUGGCCUAAUAAUUAAAGCCAUCCUGCAACCGCCGCCAUGCUGCAGAGCAUCGGGUGCAUCAGGGGCCUGUGACAUGAUACAGAGGGACAGCUUAACUAUUAAAUAUCCAUCACGCCACGCCACAUCAGUCCUAAUGCAAUCAGAAACACAUGACUACAUCGCCCGGGCCCCCACUUCCAUCCACAAUGAUUAAGUAAGUCUUUAAUUUCCAAGACAAAUAAAAAAUGCAAGAUCAUUUUAUCAAGAAUGUAAAUGACCUGUCUCCUCAGAUGACAGUUCGAUUUGAUUGGGAAGAGGGGGGGGGGGGGAUAUCUACUGUAGCUCUGCUGGCUAAUACAAGGCUUUUUGUACUUCAGAGAUGUGGGCGAGGGUCUUUUUGCCGUAUUAUCAUUUUAAUGAAGCAGGGUAUUUCUUUUGUGGUCGGGAGGCUCUAAUGCAGUUGUCCAAGACUCCCCUUUCAUCUGUCUUCUUCAAACGCUCAAGGUUGUUAAACAAAUGGAUGUGUCUGAGUAUAUAACGCUGAUGUGGCCUGGCUGCUGUUGACUGGGCCAAUUAGGACUCGGGGAGAAAAGAAUUGAGGCAUGCCGGUUCACUCACUCAAACCGUCAUACAAUACAGUCUGGCUGCUUUGUGUUUAUUAAAAUCAGCUGGAUCCUUAAGGAUUUUGUAGGACACACUGUAGUAUGACAUUGCUUUCUGAUGAUUUUCAUUAUCAGGACUUCAACCAAGAUCCCCUGUUUUUAUCUUUCUAAUUAGCAUCUAAUUAUAAUAAAAUGU